ACGGCGACGAUCAGACUUAGACCGUCGCCCGGCCGCCAUGACUGGUGCCGGCAAGAUCUCAGCAUGUAUGCAACAAGAUCAUGUCACGAUCGGCCUGCGACGAGGAACCUGGCGGGGCUCACCAUCUGGUACCCGGUGACCUGGUGCAGGUGGUGCCCUCUGCUGCUUCCGGCGGCGAAGCGCCCGCAUCCCGGCGACGCGGUGGGGUCUCCCUGCUCCAUCUCCCACAUGACCUGCAUGAAGUCGUCGACGGCGCAUGGCAGCUCGAGGGGCCCGUCGCAGCCGGCGAAGCCGUACUCGGUCUCGGCCUCGUCCAGCAGCGCCCGGAACAGCGGGUGGUUGGCGCAGCGGGCGCGCACCCCGAACCGCUCCUUCUCCGGGCCCACCAGCACCGUGAAGUAGCCGGCCGCGGGGACGGCGGCGCCGCCCCACGACGCGGACCUGUCGGGCGCCUGCGCCGGCGGCGGGCGCCUACGGUGGGCCGCCGCCAGCGAGGUCCGGCACCGCUGCAACGUCUUGGCCAGGAUGUUCUUCUUCUCGCCGCCUUCCUUCAUUGUUGCUAGCUAGCAACUACGAGCACAAAAUACAAACUACGUACGAAAGGCACUAGGCUAACGAUCGAGACGAGCUGGUUUAUUAUGUUCAACAGGAAGAAAGAGCCACAAGCAGCGACC
rnacentral:lncRNA from 1 species